GUUGAAAAACAUGUGACCUUGAAUGUAAAAGUUGAUAGCAGUUGAACGGCUUAUUGAAAAACAUAACCGUCAUAAUCAGAAUAUAUUUGUUGAUACUAAAACACUGUUUUAUUUUUAGUGUGCAUUGAGAUAUACCAUGGAUUUGCAGUACCAACAGAAUUGGAUCCAACAAAUAUGGCUUUCAUAUAUCUCUAAGACAGUAUGUAGAAAAUGAACUAGCAGUCCAGCUUCAAAUACAUAGCUCAGAGUUUUGUCUCGUUUUGGGAGGAAUCUAACCCCUGAGUGGAUUGGUAGUUUACUAUUAAUCGAAAUUAAUGUACCCAAGCCUUCUAAUCGUUCGUUUAUUCGCGUUCAACAACAAAACAACAACAACAACAACAACAACAACAACAACUACAACAACAACAACAACAACAACAACAACAACAACAACAACAACAACAACAACAACAACAACAACAACAACAACAACAACAACAACAACAACAACAAGCUAGCCAAAAUCAAACAAACCAGCCUAAAAGAUUGGCAAGAAGUGAGCUCCCGAUGCAUGAUCAGGAUUUUUUUGGGAAACGGAAACGAGACUUAAAUUGGCAAAAUUACCUGACAUUUGUUCGUGCGACAAUGAGACAGUAAACACCAUUCCUGUAAUCUCGAAACGAAUUAAUAAGAAAUAUAAUGUGCGAUAUUGACAUAAUCCCAUCCGGCCAAAUAAUUUAAUUAAGAUUCCUAUUAAACAUUUGCCGGGUUCCCAACAUACGUUCGUUCCCUCCCUAAUGCUAUCUAAUGUUAUGUCAUUGGUGCCCAAAAUAGAUGAAUUAAGCGAAGUUAUCCUCAAUAGUGAUGUGGAAAUAGCUUCUAUUACCGAGACGUGGCUCAGAGAUCACGUCGAUCAUAACGUUGUUAAUGUGUCAGGAUUUAGGUUGGUUCGCCUUGACAGAAUUAACAGUCAACACGGGGGAGUCUGUAUGUACGUAAGGAAUAAUAUUCAAUGCAACAUUGUACAAGAUCUUUUAGACAGCAAUUUUUAAAUCAUCUGGGUUCAUAUUCGCCCUACUCGUCUUCCAAGGGGAAUUCCCUGCAUAAUUAUUGGAACGUUAUACCAUCCUCCAAGUGCUAACAAUCAAGAAAUAUUAGAUCAUUUAUUAAAAUGUCUAUCAACAAUCGAAUCUCGUUUUCCCAAUAGUGGCGUCAUCCUGCUUGGCGACUUUAACAACUUAAACGUCUCUAGAAUGAAACGUAACUUUACGCUUAAGCAAAUUGUGAACUUUCCCACAUGUGGCCGGAACACUUUGGACCUCAUCCUAACUAAUUUGAAAGAAUAUUAUGCUUCCCCCAUUAAACUCUCUCCCUUUGAUCUUUCUGAUCACGUAACGGUUAAAGCUUUACCGCUCUCCCGAACAACAACAUCCAAGUCCAAGUCCAAAACAAGCAUUAAAACAAGGAACAUUAGACCAACGAAACGUUUAGCGAUGAGAACAUAUUUGGAAGCUGUUGACAUUCAAACCUUAUAGAUAAUAAGAUCUCUUGUGAGGAAAAAACUAUGAUGUUGGAAAAAAUCGUUAGCACAGGUAUGAAUUCCCUUCUUCCAAUGAAGAGGAAAACAAUCAUAGCUAACGAGCCCCCAUGGCUCAAUGAAAACCUUAAAAAGAUGAUACGUGCGCGCCAGGAAGCCUUGUCCUUGGGUGACAUGGCUACCUUCUGAUUACUUGGGAACCAAGUUAAUCGAGAG
rnacentral:lncRNA from 1 species